AACAAGCAGUGAUGAUCAUGACAUCAUGUCUUUAUCCUGAACCCCUGAUGGUACUAAGUCACUACCUCAUCUGAGCUUACA